CCAUUGUAGCACAUAUCCACUGGCUGAGUACCAUUAUACCAAGUAUAUUUUUUCCUCCAACAUGAAACACUUACAAAGAAGAGAUAUUAAAGCUUGAAGAUGGUAUCUAACCAGUGAGACAGAAAUUUCUGAUAGAUAGUAUCUUCAAACUAACAAGAUUACCCAUACCACUGGAAUUUCAAUAUACAAAUCCCAUGAAUCCUUUACUAGUAUUCUUGCAUUGUAAUUAAUGAAAUUCAAGUGGUAGGAACAUGUCAAUAUCAAAUAAAAGCUUCUUUUGAAAUGGUCUUGUUUAACAUGCCCAGUUACUCUAACCUAAUACCUUGGCCCCAUUUUUUUUGGAAUUCAAAUGGGCUUCAUUUUAUGCAGCUGACGGUUGCGCAUUUAGUAGAUGCACACCUGUGCAGUGAUCCAGGAAAGUAUGUGAGUGCAUUGAUUCUCUCUCUAUCAACAAUGUUACAUCUGGAACUUUCCCACAUCAAUGUUUUGUCUAAAAUUGAUCUCAUUGAGAGCUAUGGAAAACUAGGUAUCUAGACCAGUGAAGACUACAGAUUCUAUGUUAUAUCAGUUGAGUUCAGUGAAUUUAGUAACAAGGACAAGACAUUAAAUUAAAUCAUAACUCAUGGAGUUUGUCUUGAUGUUUUUCUUAUUAUUUUUUGGCAAAUGUUAAAACAUGAUUUGUGGAUAUGUUAUUUUUUAGUUAAUGGUGAUUGGAUAUUAAAUUGAA